rnacentral:rRNA from 1 species
UACGGAGGGUGCGAGCGUUAAUCGGAAUUACUGGGCGUAAAGGGUGCGUAGGUGGUUUAAUAAGUUAUCUGUGAAAGCCCUGGGCUUAACCUGGGAAGGCCAGAUAAGACUGUUAGGCUUGAGUAUAGGAGAGGGUAGUGGAAUUUCCGGUGUAGCGGUGAAAUGCGUAGAGAUCGGAAGGAACACCAGUGGCGAAGGCGGCUACCUGGCCGAAUACUGACACUGAAGCACGAAAGCGUGGGGAGCAAACAGG